rnacentral:misc_RNA from 1 species
GUUUGUUAGUGGCGUGUCCGUCCGCAGCUGGCAAGCGAAUGUAAAGACUGAC